GCGGACGUGGUGCAUGGUGCACCUCUCCUUUCAUUGACUGAGAAAGAGAACAAGAAUUGAAGGAGGUGUUGGGGUUCGACUCCCCGUGUCUGCA